rnacentral:rRNA from 1 species
UACGGAGGGGGCUAGCGUUGUUCGGAAUUACUGGGCGUAAAGCGCACGUAGGCGGCUUUGCAAGUUAGAGGUGAAAGCCCGGGGCUCAACUCCGGAAUUGCCUUUAAAACUGCAUCGCUAGAAUUGUGGAGAGGUAAGUGGAAUUCCAAGUGUAGAGGUGAAAUUCGUAGAUAUUCGGAAGAACACCAGUGGCGAAGGCGACUUACUGGACACAUAUUGACGCUGAGGUGCGAAAGCGUGGGGAGCAAACAGG